rnacentral:rRNA from 1 species
CACGUAGGGUGCGAGCGUUGUCCGGAAUUAUUGGGCGUAAAGAGCUCGUAGGCGGUGUGUCGCGUCGGCCGUGAAAACCUGCAGCUUAACUGUGGGCUUGCGGUCGAUACGGGCAUCACUGGAGUUCGGCAGGGGAGACUGGAAUUCCGUGGUGAUAGCGGUGAAAUGCGCAGAUAUCAGGAGGAACACCGGUGGCGAAGGCGGAUCUCUGGGCCUUACCUGACGCUGGAGGCGACGAAAGCUAGGGGAGCAAACAGG